rnacentral:lncRNA from 1 species
GAGGCCUUGAGAGCAAAUGAUCUGCUCUACUGAACACUCAGAAGAUGAAGUCUCUUUGGAAGAAGGCUGUCUUUCUGUAGUCUGACUACAGCCCGGUCUCUUGGCUGUGUUUUAAGCACAUCAGAGUCAUCUGAGGAGACUUCAAAUAGACACUGUCUGAGCAUCACCUGGAUCUUGCUGCAGUGGAAUGUUCCAAGUCAGCUGGGUCAGCCAUGGAAGAGUCUACAUUGGUACAUUGCUGGUGUCUGUGUCUAUGUGAGCGGAAUGCUGCAGAAUCUCUUAUGUGGAUGGGAGUUCCCGGGUUAAAGUACAUUCUCAGCAGAACAAAGGGACCAUUGAUAAGAAAGAC